CACGUGAGGGGCAAGCGUUGUCCGGAUUAUUGGGCGUAAAGAGCGUGUAGGCGGCCAGGUAGGUCCGCUGUGAAAACUCGAGGCUUAACCUCGAGAUGCCAUCGGAAACUAUUCGGCUAGAGUCCGGAAGAGGAGAGUGGAAUUCCUGGUGGUAGCGGUGAAAUGCGCAGAUAUCAGGAAGAACACCUAUGGCGAAAGCAGCUCUCUGGGACGGUACUGACGCGAGACGCGAAAGCGUGGGGAGCGAACAGG
rnacentral:rRNA from 1 species